rnacentral:rRNA from 1 species
AAUAUUGCACAAUGGGGGCAACCCUGAUGCAGCGACGCCGCGUGAGCGAUGAAGGCCUUCGGGUCGUAAAGCUCUUUUCUAGGUGACGAGCAAGGACGGUAGCCUAGGAAUAAGUCUCGGCUAACUACGUGCCAGCAGCCGCGGUAAAACGUAGGAGGCAAGCGUUAUCCGGAGUUACUGGGCGUAAAGCGCAAGUAGGCGGAUGGACAAGUUGGUUGUGAAAGCGCCCGGCUAAACUGGGCGAGGCCGAUCAAGACUGUUCGUCUAGAGAGUGAUAGAGGGGCGCAGAAUUCGGGGUGUAGCGGUGAAAUGUGUAGAGAUCCCGAGGAAUACCAGUGGGGAAGCCGGCGCCCUGGGUCAUAUCUGACGCUGAGAUGCGAAAGCGUGGGGAGC